UGGUGAGAGAGAAUAAUUCCCAUAAAUAGAUUUACAGUCUAUCGCCUAUAAAUUCAGCCAUCUCGCC
rnacentral:tRNA from 2 species